UAAAGCCUCCAUAAAAACUCAAAUGAAGCGGUUUUAGAGCUUCUGGGUUGGUGAACACGUGGAGGUGCUGGGAGAGUGGUGUGUCUGGAGAGGGUCUGACCUGGUCUUGGAGAAGUUUCCAGCCUUUGCAGAUGAAUACAAUACCACUGCUGUAAAUGGAGCACAAAAGCCCUUCUCCAGUCUCGCUUCAGUUCUGAGUCAUAUCAGAGUCAAGGGAUAAUCUGAGGCUGAGCAAAGAGGAAGCAUUGAGAAGAGGCCUUGCCACAGGCUGCUGACUACCUGACAUUUCACAAUGAAGAAUCAUUGCCUCAGAAAUAUUCUGAGCUUCUCAACACUCCAA